GGUUGUGGCUCAGUGGUAGAACACUCACCUAGUAUGGGCGAGGCCCUGGGUUCAAUCCUCAGCACCA
rnacentral:tRNA from 1 species